CUGUUCUCAGGGGAGGAUAUAGUCACAUCGUGGACCAUCACUCCUUGACAGUUGUCAAACUUAAGAUGGCACUGUGAGCUGUUGACAAUAGUGAUGCCAGCUACUAAGAUGUUGAAACUACCAUAAAACCUCAAUGCCUGCAUCAGGUUUAAUCUGUGGCAUUCUAUCGAGCUCCACAUCGUACUGCAGGAAAGUAUCCAAGGUCCACCAUUGUUGCCCUCUGCCAUUUAUGAUGCCACUGCCUUGAAUUACUAUUCCAUUUAGUUUGGUGAACUCAAGCCACUGGAGCAAGCCAGAACCCCAGGCUUUAGCACUGGUUGGAGCUAGGAUUGUUCCUUCCAGCUGCAAAUUUCCACUGGAGGUGAUCAACAUGGAGUUUAUGUAAGUCAUGUGGAAGCGAGUCUGAAACAAAGCGUUUGAAGGGCAAACUGGACAAAAGGAAUUGGCAUUGAGAAUUUCCAACUCAGAGAACGCAUGGUGCUUGAUAAUUUUAUAAAUUUAGUUUGAAACAGAGCAUUUGAUGGUGAAGCGGGCAACCUU